UCAGUCAUGUCUCUCCUGUGGCAAUGUACAAUCGUUUUGGCUGUUGUAGCAGCAAGGGCUGCCAACGACGAUUUUAGUGUGGAUUGUGAGAAACGCUCCAUUAAAGUGACAUGGAAGGUCAGUCCAGAGUUGGUUGAGAAUGCUGCCCGUCUCUUCCUUGGACACUGCGUUCCAUCCAAAUUUUCUGUUCUUCCCACUGGAGAAGGGGAAGCGACAUUCCACUACAACCUCAAUGGCUGUGCAAUCAAGAAACGGGUGACUGGCAAAAAACACAUCUACUCAACCAACCUGACUUACAGACCUGACCGAAAGCCCAAACCUGCUGCUAUUAGUCACCACAUUAAGUGUGUUUACACAAGACCUGAGGGAUGGAUUCCCCAAUUCCUUAUCCCUGCCUCUGGUAGUGCUGAGGGUCAUGGAGGAUUGGUUUUCCACAUGGCACUCCUCAAUGAAGACCUUACUGGUCUGGCCAAGACCAGCCUGUUCCCCCUGGGCUCUUUCAUCCCCAUCUGGGCAGCAGUGGACCAGAAGGACCACCAGCCCUUGCUGCUGCUCAUGGAGGAGUGUGUGGCGGCCACUACACCAGAACUGCAGUCUGAGAGUCUGGUGUACCCAAUAAUCACCAACAAGGGUUGCCUUGCAGAUGGGAAGACUGGGAACUCCAGGUUCCUGCCUAGGUACCACUUCGUCUGCUAUCCUGCUUUACCUGCAGUCCUUCAAGUUUGCCCUCGGCAGGAAGUGA